AUUAAACGCUGGCGGCAUGCCUUACACAUGCAAGUCGAACGGCAGCACGGGGGCAACCCUGGUGGCGAGUGGCGGACGGGUGAGUAAAGCAUCGGAACGUAUCCUGGAGUGGGGGGAUAACGUAGCGAAAGUUACGCUAAUACCGCAUAUUCUGUGAGCAGGAAAGCAGGGGAUCGCAAGACCUUGCGCUCUGGGAGCGGCCGAUGUCGGAUUAGCUAGUUGGUGGGGUAAAGGCCUACCAAGGCGACGAUCCGUAGCGGGUCUGAGAGGAUGAUCCGCCACACUGGGACUGAGACACGGCCCAGACUCCUACGGGAGGCAGCAGUGGGGAAUUUUGGACAAUGGGCGGAAGCCUGAUCCAGCCAUGCCGCGUGAGUGAAGAAGGCCUCGG
rnacentral:rRNA from 1 species